rnacentral:pre_miRNA from 1 species
AUGUAGGGCAAUCUGUCUUUCAGAGUAAAUUGUUCUUUAAAAUAAAAAGAAUCCUACUGUUCCCUUUAAGUCAAGUGUCGUUGU